CAUGCAAGUCGAACGGAAACCUUCGGGUUUUAGUGGCGAACGGGUGAGUAACACGUAAGCAACCUGCCCUUAAGACGAGGAUAACAAUUGGAAACAGUUGCUAAGACUGGAUAGGAAAAGUAAAGGCAUCUUUACUUUUUUAAAAGACCUUCUUUGAAGGUAUGCUUAAGGAGGGGCUUGCGACACAUUAGUUAGUUGGCAGGGUAAAUGCCUACCAAGACUAUGAUGUGUAGCUGGACUGAGAGGUUGAACAGCCACAUUGGGACUGAGACACGGCCCAAACUCCUACGGGAGGCAGCAGUAGGGAAUUUUCGGCAAUGGAGGAAACUCUGACCGAGCAACGCCGCGUGAACGAUGAAGUACCUCGGUAUGUAAAGUUCUUUUAUUAAGGAAGAAAAAAGAGUGGAAAAACUCCCUUGACGGUACUUAAUGAAUAAGCCCCGGCUAAUUAUGUGCCAGCAGCCGCGGUAAUACAUAAGGGGCGAGCGUUAUCCGGAAUUAUUGGGCGUAAAGGGUGCGUAGGCGGUUUAAUAAGUCUAUAGUUUAAUUUCAGUGCUUAACGCUGUUGUGCUAUAGAAACUGUUUUACUAGAGUGAGUUAGAGGCAAGCGGAAUUCCAUGUGUAGCGGUAAAAUGCGUAAAUAUAUGGAGGAACACCAGAGGCGUAGGCGGCUUGCUGGGACUUUACUGACGCUGAGGCACGAAAGCGUGGGGAGCAAACAGGAUUAGAUACCCUGGUAGUCCACGCCGUAAACGAUGAGUACUAAGUGUCGGGUAAAACCGGUACUGAAGUUAACACAUUAAGUACUCCGCCUGAGUAGUACGUACGCAAGUAUGAAACUUAAAGGAAUUGACGGGACUCCGCACAAGCGGUGGAUCAUGUUGUUUAAUUCGAAGAUACACGAAAAACCUUACCAGGUCUUGACAUUUUCUUGCGAAGUUAUAGAAAUAUAAUGGAGGUUAUCAGGAAAACAGGUGGUGCAUGGUUGUCGUCAGCUCGUGUCGUGAGAUGUUAGGUUAAGUCCUAAAACGAGCGCAACCCUUGUCGUUAAUUGCCAGCAUGUAAUGAUGGGGACUUUAACGAGACUGCCAAUGAAAAAUUGGAGGAAGGUGGGGAUUACGUCAAAUCAUCAUGCCCCUUAUGAUCUGGGCUACAAACGUGAUACAAUGGUUGAUACAAAGAGUAGCUGAAACGCGAGUUCUUAGCCAAUCUCACAAAAUCAAUCUCAGUUCGGAUUGAAGUCUGCAACUCGACUUCAUGAAGUUGGAAUCGCUAGUAAUCGCGAAUCAGCAUGUCGCGGUGAAUACGUUCUCGGGGUUUGUACACACCGCCCGUCAAACCACGAAAGUUGGCAAUACCCCAAAGCGGUCACCUAACUUCGCAAGAAGAAGGAUCCGUCUAAGGUAGGGUCGAUGAUUGGGGUUAAG
rnacentral:rRNA from 1 species